rnacentral:rRNA from 1 species
AACGAACGCUGGCGGCAUGCCUAACACAUGCAAGUCGAACGAGACCUUCGGGCCUAUUGGCGCACGGGUGCGUAACGCGUGGGAACCUGCCUUUAGGUUCGGAAUCACUCAGAGAAAUUUGAGCUAAUACCGGAUGAUGUCUUCGGACCAAAGAUCUAUGGCCUUUAGAUGGGCCCGCGUUGGAUUAGCUAGUUGGUGGGGUAAAGGCAUACCAAGGCGACGAUCCAUAGCUGGUCUGAGAGGAUGAUCAGCCACACUGGGACUGAGACACGGCCCAGACUCCUACGGGAGGGAGCAGUGGGGAAUAUUGGACAAUGGGCGAAAGUCUGAUCCAGCCAUGCCGCGUGAGUGAUGAAGGCCUUAGGGUUGUAAAGCUCUUUUACCCGAGAUGAUAAUGACGGUAUCGGGAGAAUAAGCACCGGCUAACUACGUG